UAAAAAUUAGUUAAUAUUUAUAACAUUAAAAUGUCAGUUUAAAAUAAUUUAUUUAAUUUAAUAUUUUUAA
rnacentral:tRNA from 1 species